rnacentral:rRNA from 1 species
AGAACGAACGCUGGCGGCAGGCUUAACACAUGCAAGUCGAGCGGGCGUAGCAAUACGUCAGCGGCAGACGGGUGAGUAACGCGUGGGAACAUACCUUUUGGUUCGGAACAACCCAGGGAAACUUGGGCUAAUACCGGAUAAGCCCUUACGGGGAAAGAUUUAUCGCCGAAAGAUUGGCCCGCGUCUGAUUAGCUAGUUGGUGAGGUAACGGCUCACCAAGGCGACGAUCAGUAGCUGGUCUGAGAGGAUGAUCAGCCACAUUGGGACUGAGACACGGCCCAAACUCCUACGGGAGGCAGCAGUGGGGAAUAUUGGACAAUGGGCGCAAGCCUGAUCCAGCCAUGCCGCGUGAGUGAUGAAGGCCCUAGGGUUGUAAAGCUCUUUUGUGCGGGAAGAUAAUGACGGUACGCAAGAAUAAGCCCCGGCUAACUUCGUGCCAGCAGCCGC